rnacentral:tRNA from 1 species
UCUAUUGUGGCAGAUUAGUGCAUUGGUCUUAAGCUCCAACUAUAAAUUUACCUUUUAAUAGAA